rnacentral:rRNA from 1 species
UGGGGAAUAUUGCACAAUGGGGGGAACCCUGAUGCAGCGACGCCGCGUGGAGGAAGAAGGUCUUCGGAUUGUAAACUCCUGUUGUUGGGGAAGAUAAUGACGGUACCCAACAAGGAAGUGACGGCUAACUACGUGCCAGCAGCCGCGGUAAAACGUAGGUCACAAGCGUUGUCCGGAAUUACUGGGUGUAAAGGGAGCGCAGGCGGGAAGACAAGUUGGAAGUGAAAUCUAUGGGCUCAACCCAUAAACUGCUUUCAAAACUGUUUUUCUUGAGUAGUGCAGAGGUAGGCGGAAUUCCCGGUGUAGCGGUGGAAUGCGUAGAUAUCGGGAGGAACACCAGUGGCGAAGGCGGCCUACUGGGCACCAACUGACGCUGAGGCUCGAAAGUGUGGGUAGCAAACAGGAUUAGAUACCCUGGUAGUCCACACCGUAAACGAUGAUUACUAGGUGUUGGAGGAUUGACCCCUUCAGUGCCGCAGUUAACACAAUAAGUAAUCCACCUGGGGAGUACGACCGCAAGGUUGAAACUCAAAGGAAUUGACGGGGGCCCGCACAAGCAGUGGAGUAUGUGGUUUAAUUCGACGCAACGCGAAGAACCUUACCAAGUCUUGACAUCCCUUGACAGACAUAGAAAUAUGUAAUCUCUUCGGAGCAAGGAGACAGGUGGUGCAUGGUUGUCGUCAGCUCGUGUCGUGAGAUGUUGGGUUAAGUCCCGCAACGAGCGCAACCCUUAUGGUCAGUUACUACGCAAGAGGACUCUGGCCAGACUGCCGUUGACAAAACGGAGGAAGGUGGGGAUGACGUCAAAUCAUCAUGCCCUUUAUGACUUGGGCUACACACGUACUACAAUGGCGUUAAACAAAGAGAAGCAAGACCGCGAGGUGGAGCAAAACUCAGAAACAACGUCCCAGUUCGGACUGCAGGCUGCAACUCGCCUGCACGAAGUCGGAAUUGCUAGUAAUCGUGGAUCAGCAUGCCACGGUGAAUACGUUCCC